AUCCCAGAUGAGGCUCUUUGUAUUUAUCUGAUUCAUGGGAGGCAAAUAUUGACUGUGGGAAAUUUCGCUGAUAGCACCUCUCAAUCUUUUUGGAGGUGUUUACUAGUUGAUUUCCUAACAUAU
rfam:Vigna radiata var. radiata cultivar VC1973A chromosome 5, whole genome shotgun sequence